UACCAGACUCCUACGGGAGGCAGCAGUGAGGAAUAUUGGUCAAUGGGCGGGAGCCUGAACCAGCCAAGUCGCGUGAGGGAUGACGGCCCUAUGGGUUGUAAACCUCUUUUGCCGGGGAGCAAAGUGCCGCACGUGUGCGGUUUGGAGAGUACCCGGAGAAAAAGCAUCGGCUAACUCCGUGCCAGCAGCCGCGGUAAUACGGAGGAUGCGAGCGUUAUCCGGAAUUACUGGGUGUAAAGGGAGCGUAGACGGCGAGGUAAGCCUGAAGUGGAAGCCCGCGGCCCAACCGCGGAACUGCUUUGGGAACUGUUUUGCUGGAGUAUGGGAGGGGUAAGCGGAAUUCCUGGUGUAGCGGUGAAAUGCGUAGAUAUCAGGAGGAACACCGGUGGCGAAGGCGGCUUACUGGACCAUAACUGACGUUGAGGCUCGAAAGCGUGGGGAGCGAACAGGAUUAGAUACCCCUGUAA
rnacentral:rRNA from 1 species